rnacentral:lncRNA from 1 species
CCGCCGGCCAGGGAGUCCCCCGCCAGCUGAGGGGUGGAGGGCCUGGCGGUGCUGGCAUUGGCUAGCAGUCCCUGCGGCCCCUCCCUGCUGCCCGGCUCCCAGAUGGGCCUCCUGGCCGGGACUCCGCCCGCUGCAGCCAGGCUGGAGGACGCUCCCCGGGCCCCCGGGGCCGCCCCACGGGUGCGGGCAGGAAUUCAGGGCCUUGGCUGCUCCCAUGCUGCCUGGCUGGCGUGGUGAGGACAGAGAGGCUGCUGGCGGGGAGCCCUGUGCCUUGGGAGGCUGUCGCAACCCUCUGAGACACACGAGCGGGCGGCGGGGGGACCCGCUCGCCGGGCACCGAGCCUGGGAGCCUAGUGUCUUGGGCAAGGAGGGCCAGAGCCGUGGGGCCAGGCGCACAGGCCCCGCGGUCAGAGGGACCUGCGUGCUGUGGGUCUGCUCCCUCCUGCCUCACAUGGUGUACUCAGUCACCCAGCAGGCAUUCACUGAGCACCUACUGUGCACUGCCUGCAGUUCCAGCCCGUUCUCCGGGUCUACCUGCCUUUCCCCUUGCUCCCCCUACCCGCUCCCUGGUCCUCAGGCCUCCAGAAGCCUUCGCUGUCCUCCCCAAAGCCCCACCACGGCCCCAAGGCCACUGUGUCGCCCCGGCCCUGCAGUGCGUGCAUCGCCCUGGUUUGUGCUUGUCCGGGACAAGCCAGCCUGAGUGGGGUGCCAUCCCUCCAGGGCCCAGUCCUGAGCCGGGCCGACAGCCAGCCCUCGAGGCUCCUGAGCGGGGAGGAUGGUGGACUUGGUGGUGUGGCGGGAGAAGGUGAUUCCUCCCCAGGGUGAGGCUGAUGGUCCCAGGGAACUCCAAGGCCAGGGCCCCACCUGGCCGCCUUCCUCCCGGCCACGGUGCAGAGGUGGGAGAGGGCAGGGGUGGGGAGGGGUGGGGGCAGGUUUCUCUGCUGCGAGCGCCUUGCCCCUACACUGGCUCUCAUCUCUGUCUUGGGAUGGAGGUGGUGUUCUGCCCAUUUUACAGAUGAGAAGACUGAGCCCCAGGUGGAUCGAGCUGGGAGGGGCUGAGCUGAGCGGGGUCCUGCUCUUUGCCAAGAAAGUCAGCCUUUGGCGUCUGAGGCCACACAUCCCUAGCACCCGGGGGCGCCCCUUGGGAGCUUCUAGGCCCUCAGCACCAUCAUUACUGUGUAAAAUGCUACCGGAGGAGCCAAGAGACCAGCAGACCUCUUUGACACGAAGCACCCAGACCUGCUUUCCCAGGACCCAUGCCCACCUGAGCUCGUGUGGGGCCCUUGUGGACAUCAGCCUCCCUGGUGGACAUAGCUCCUUUGUGUGCACGUUUAAACAAAUGAAGCCUGAGUGCACCUCCCUCUUCUAAGGUCUGAGGAGGUCUGCCGGGGACACACACCCAUCAGGGAGGAUGGGGGAGGCAAAGCUGGCCCUGGAGGGCGGGGUCCGGGGGGAGUAAGCAGUGUGAGGUGUGGUUGGGCUGGACUACAGUGCUGAGCUGCCGGGCAGCCAGGGCAAAAGGGAACUAGGACG